CACUGAUGUCUGUGGAUCAGUCUUUAACUAGAAACACCCCAAGUACCCUUCAGAAUCCACUUUCUCCUUCUCUUCCCUUCCUGUCUCUGAUCUCUAGGAAUGUGACCUGUAGCUCUUUUUCUCAUUUGAUGCACAGCCUUUGGAUAUUUUUACCUGUUGUUAUUAACUGAAUUGUGAACCUCUUUCCCCACUCAGAUGUCCAAGCCUUAACUCCAGCAUUACAGGACUUGACCAUUUGCAGACAAGGCCUUUAGAGAGACAGGUGAAUCUGAGUAUGCCGCGGAGCAGAAGGAACAAAUAGGAUGGAGGAAAUUGGAGCUUCUGGGGUGAGGGAAGUAUUUGGAGAUUUGGAUAAAGAGAGAGAAAAGGGGUGAAGGUCAGGAUGUGCUCCUUGACCAUGGGCCCAAAAGCAGCAGAGCCAACUGACCAUGGACUGAAACCUCCAAAGCUGUGAGUCAUAAUAAGUCUUUUCUCUGUAUAUGUUGACUAUCUCAGAUAUUUGUGAUAGUAAUGGAAAACUGACACAUACGUGGGCUGACUCCUUCUCCUAGUGAUUUCUGGAGAGCACUCCCAUAAUUUAACAACUAAUACCAACGCCAUACUGAACACAUCCGGUGACUACUCCUUACCCCCUCAAAAGUGAAGUAGCUCUUUAGAC
rnacentral:lncRNA from 1 species